rnacentral:rRNA from 1 species
AUUGAACGCUGGCGGCAUGCCUUACACAUGCAAGUCGAACGGUAACAGGGAGCUUGCUCCGCUGACGAGUGGCGAACGGGUGAGUAAUGUAUCGGAACGUACCUUUCAGUGGGGGAUAACGUAGCGAAAGUUACGCUAAUACCGCAUAUUCUGUGAGCAGGAAAGCAGGGGAUCGCAAGACCUUGCGCUGAUUGAGCGGCCGAUAUCAGAUUAGCUAGUUGGUGAGGUAAAGGCUCACCAAGGCGACGAUCUGUAGCGGGUCUGAGAGGAUGAUCCGCCACACUGGAACUGAGACACGGUCCAGACUCCUACGGGAGGCAGCAGUGGGGAAUUUUGGACAAUGGGCGCAAGCCUGAUCCAGCAAUGCCGCGUGCAGGAAGAAGGCCUUCGGGUUGUAAACUGCUUUGUACGGAGCGAAAAGGCCCUCUCUAAUACAGGGGUUCAUGACGGUACCGUAAGAAUAAGCACCGGCUAACUACGUAGCCA